rnacentral:rRNA from 1 species
GAUACAGGCUAGCGGCGGACGGGUGAGUAACACGUGGGUAACCUGCCCAAGAGAUCGGGAUAACACCUGGAAACAGAUGCUAAUACCGGAUAACAACAGAUGAUGCCUAUCAACUGUUUAAAAGAUGGUUCUGCUAUCACUCUUGGAUGGACCUGCGGUGCAUUAGCUAGUUGGUAGGGUAACGGCCUACCAAGGCGAUGAUGCAUAGCCGAGUUGAGAGACUGAUCGGCCACAUUGGGACUGAGACACGGCCCAAACUCCUACGGGAGGCAGCAGUAGGGAAUCUUCCACAAUGGACGCAAGUCUGAUGGAGCAACGCCGCGUGAGUGAAGAAGGGUUUCGGCUCGUAAAGCUCUGUUGUUGGUGAAGAAGGACAGGGGUAGUAACUGACC